GACAGAGGAGGCGAGCGUUAACCGGAGUUAUUGGGCGUAAAGGGGACGUAGGCGGCUAGGCAAGUCUGAGGUUAAAGACCACAGCUUAACUGUGGGAAGGCCUUGGAAACUGACUGGCUAGAGUGGGGCAGGGGGUGCCGGAAUUUCCGGUGUAGCGGUGAAAUGCGUAGAUAUCGGGAAGAACACCUGAGGCGAAAGCGCGCAACUGGGCCCUAACUGACGCUGAGGUACGAAAGCUAGGGGAGCGAAUGGG
rnacentral:rRNA from 1 species